rnacentral:rRNA from 1 species
UACGGAGGAUGCGAGCGUUAUCCGGAUUUAUUGGGUUUAAAGGGUGCGUAGGCGGGCUGUUAAGUCAGCGGUAAAAGCCCGGGGCUCAACCCCGGCGAGCCGUUGAAACUGGCUGUCUUGGGAUGUCGAGAGGUAUGCGGAAUGCGCAGUGUAGCGGUGAAAUGCUUAGAUAUUGCGCAGAACUCCGAUUGCGAAGGCAGCAUACCGGCGGCGAUCUGACGCUGAGGCACGAAAGCGUGGGUAUCAAACAGG